AAGGUACUCCCAUCCGUCCCAAAAUUUUUGUCUUAGAUUUGUUUAAAUAUGAAUGUAUCUAGUCAAGUUUUAGUAUUUUGAUACAUCCAUUUUUAAACAAACUUAACACAAGAAUUUUGCGACGGAGGAAGUACAAG
rfam:Hordeum vulgare subsp. vulgare, WGS project CAJW01000000 data, contig: morex_contig_60614